CCUACGGGGGGCUGCAGUGGGGAAUAUUGGACAAUGGGGGGAACCCUGAUCCAGCCAUGCCGCGUGUGUGAAGAAGGCCCUCGGGUUGUAAAGCACUUUCAGUGAGGAAGAACGCCUGGUGGUUAAUACCCAUCAGGAAAGACAUCACUCACAGAAGAAGCACCGGCUAACUCCGUGCCAGCAGCCGCGGUAAUACGGGGGGUGCGAGCGUUAAUCGGAAUUACUGGGCGUAAAGCGCGCGUAGGUGGCUUGAUAAGCCGGUUGUGAAAGCCCCGGGCUCAACCUGGGAACGGCAUCCGGAACUGUCAAGCUAGAGUGCAGGAGAGGAAGGUAGAAUUCCCGGUGUAGCGGUGAAAUGCGUAGAGAUCGGGAGGAAUACCAGUGGCGAAGGCGGCCUUCUGGACUGACACUGACACUGAGGUGCGAAAGCGUGGGUAGCAAACAGGAUUAGAUACCCCUGUAGUC
rnacentral:rRNA from 1 species